GGACAACUUCUAACGCCAACUUCCUCUGAUAACAAGUACUGGUCACACUACCUGCAACUAUGGAAAACUACAGUUGAAUUUUUUCAGACCAAGUUUCGUUUUCUUUCAACUUUUAAUCCCGGAAGAAACGUUACAUAUAACCUGGCGCUGCGUCGCCUAGAUAUGGGGUAGAUCAACUUUGGCGUUAUCCUAACAUGCCCUCAUGUCAGACAGGUUUUGCAAAACUGGUUUUGUCUACAUGAUAAAGUCGUACAACAAGAUAUGUACUCAAAUGCGCAUAAACUGAGGAAGCGUGCAGGGAGCAACUCCUAACGUUACUGAAGUCCUGUUUUAUGGCCACACAUGGAAAUAUCAAUGGUGAGGCGUCGUCUGUCAUUAAAGAGGAGAUACUGUCUUCUGCUGUGCUUUGCUGUCGGACUGUUAAUCGCUUAUGAGCUCACAAGGAAUCGCCUUGAAGUAGGAAGAAUGAGCCGUGCGGAAGGUCUGAGGGCCAACUCGUCUCAGUUCACUCUGGAGGGAAAGCCCCUCCGCAUCCUGGGAGGCUCCAUCCAUUACUUCCGUGUCCCCAGGGCCUACUGGGAGGACCGACUGCUGAAGAUGAAGGCCUGUGGCCUGAAUACUCUCACGACAUAUGUGCCGUGGAACCUGCACGAGCCUGAGCGAGGGGUGUUCAACUUUGAGGAUCAGCUGGAUUUAGAAGCCUACCUGCGCCUUGCAGCCAGCUUGGGCCUCUGGGUGAUUCUGCGUCCAGGGCCGUACAUCUGUGCUGAGUGGGAUUUAGGGGGACUUCCAAGUUGGCUUCUACGGGACCGAAACAUGAAACUGAGAACAACCUACCCGGGAUUCACUGACGCAGUCAACUCCUUCUUUAAUCAGCUCAUUAAGAGAGUUGUUCCACAUCAGUACUCCAAGGGUGGCCCAAUUAUCGCGGUUCAAGUGGAAAAUGAAUAUGGCUCCUACGCUGAAGACGACUCGUACAUGCCCUUCAUCAAGGAGGCGUUACUGUCAAGGGGCAUCACCGAGCUGCUGCUGACCUCAGACAACAGGGAAGGACUAAAGCGUGGAGGAGUGAAAGGAGCACUAGAAACCAUCAAUUUCCAGAAACUGAACCCAAAUGACAUCAAGUAUCUGGAUGCAAUACAACCUCACAAGCCAAAGAUGGUGAUGGAGUACUGGUCUGGCUGGUUCGACAUUUGGGGGGACCUUCAUCAUGUGUACACAGCUGACGACAUGAUACCUGUGGUCAGAGAGAUCCUUAAACAGGACAUGUCCAUCAACCUCUACAUGUUCCACGGAGGGACAAAUUUUGGCUUCAUGAGCGGAGCGUUUGCAGUUGGAAUGCCGGCACCGAGACCUAUGGUGACAAGCUACGAUUACGAUGCUCCAUUAUCCGAGGCUGGGGAUUACACCACCAAGUACCAUCUUCUGAGGAAUUUAUUCAGCCACUACCACACGCAGCCUCUCCCUGAACUGCCCUCUCAUCAGGAGAGGAGAGCGUACCAGCCUGUUGUCAUCCAGCAGCACCUGUCUCUGUGGGACAGCCUGCAUUUCACUGACAAGCCACUGAAGGCAGAGAGGCCGGUGAACAUGGAGAACCUCCACGUCAACAAUAACAACGGCCAGUCUUACGGCUACACGCUGUACGAGACCGCCAUCACCAGCCAAGGAACCCUCAACUCGAAGAACAACGUCAGAGACAGAGCACUGGUUUUUGUGGACAAACAUUUUGUGGGUGUUCUGGAUUAUAAGACUCAAGAACUUCCACUCCCUGAUGGGAAGGGAAAAAGAACUCUAAGUUUGUUGGUGGAGAACUGUGGAAGAGUGAAUUAUGGGAAAACGCUGGACCAGCAGCACAAAGGUCUUGUUGGAGAUAUCGAGCUUAACAAGCGCCCCCUCCGCGACUUCAUUAUGCGCAGUCUGGAUAUGAAGCCAGGCUUUGUAAACAGACUUGAGAGUUCAGGCCACUGGAUGUCGAUGCGUCAGCGGCAGACCUUCCCAGGGUUUUUCCAGGGGAAACUCUAUGUGAACAGUUCUCCCAAAGACACCUUUAUCAAGCUCCCUGUGUUGGCGACAGCAGAGCCCGUCGGUGCAUCAAAUCACUGUGAUUGGCACUUCAGCUCAGUGCGCAAGAGAGAAACGGAAAUGAGAAAAGUCAAUAAAGGGCUAAAGUCAAGAGGAGGGCUGGAGCAAAGGUGUAGUGUUUAUUAACGGCAAGAAUCUGGGACGCUACUGGUCCAUUGGUCCCCAGCAAACUCUCUAUGUCCCCGGGCCCUGGCUUCACAGGGGGGAUAACCAGGUCAUAGUUUUUGAAGAGCAAGAAACAGAUGGCAAGAUUCAGUUCGCCAGCAGCCCGGACUAUGGUAUGAGUGUUGAUGUCCAGUGAGGACAGGAGGUGAGAGGGGAGUUUGGAGGAGAAGAGGAUGAUGAGGGAGUAAUUGGGGAAGACAUGACGGAGAUCGUUGUUGUGAGCUUCGCACAUCCGGGACCAGCAGCACUCAAAGCUAACGUGUCAGUGAAGGGGACUCCCUGAAAACUUGGCAUUUCACUCAUGUCCUUGGUCACACAGUGUUGUGUGCCUGAUGCGCGUUUUUGUCGGUCCACAUUGCGUUAUUUGGUCACUUUUUGAAUAACUCAUAGGUACAUAGGUACGUGGGUCCCGUCCGAAUGUGCCAUGUCAGUAAUCAUUACCAUACGAUGUCAGUAAAGAUAACCGCGACUUUUACCUUCUGUAAAACGGUCCCGGAAAAUUACCUCAGGUAAUACUAAUCCCGUGCGAAUAGACCAGCAGUAAAUAUGUGUGUAGAUAUUUCGUAAUAUCCUGUUUACAAGUGUUUUUUUUGCGGAUUUUCAAACAUGGAGACUCUUGAAGAAGCACUCAGUUUUGCACUCCCGAGGCACGGGACUUGUGAUUGCUUUAGGUAAGUUAAGUAUGCAAUGUAGCAGGGCUAUGUGGCUAAUAAAAAAUGACAAUAAAAUCAACCAGUAGGCUAAUCAGUUCAUAAUAAUUCGAUGUUGUAGGCUAUAUUAUUUUUUACUCACAGGAAGCAACGUCAUACGCACAUGACGACAGGAGGGGACGGCAGUGCAUGAAUGGAUUUACACCUCCCACUUGUGGUAGUUUUACUGAUAUUUCUUAUCCCGUGCGAAUUGGCCAUUAAUAUUACCGACGUCCUGAGGUAAAGUGACAUUACCCCACGUGCCCAUGUAAAACUAAUCCCGUCCGAAUAGUGCAUUUGUCUUAUACCGAACAUUAAACCCUCAGGAGACAUCAUGCUUAUCUGCAACUGCAAACAGAGAUGGUUAUUUAUGUUUUUGUGGACACACUUAGAUUUCUGCUUAUUUUACUCUUAUGCUGGCACGGCUGCAACUGCAACUAGACUUCCCUGCAUGACUUUUACCUGACUGCUGAUAAAUUCUCAAAUUGACCAUCAUAACAUUAUACUGGAAAAUACAUACAACUAAAUAGUGCGUAAAUACACUGUAAUUUAGAUGGACUAAAUUAUGUUGAACAAAAAAAAUCUACUCAGAUGGGGAGUCUGUAUUCUGAUAUCUUGUGUCAGUGUACCCCAAACUGGCUUACAAGGCUACCUAUUAAUUUCCAUGUUAUUUAAAAAGGUGUGAGACCACAUAUACAAUUAUAGGAAAACAUGAACGGUAUAUUCUGUAUGCCUUCUUACUCAUAGUGUGUAUUAUUCAGUCUAGUGUGCCUUAUUUUCCUCGCUCUUGAGAUAAAACUUGUCCAUACUUUGCCACUCCGUCCAACCAAAAUUAUUUAGGGUUUUUGUUCAUCGUUUUUACAAAGGUGCAGGUAGGUUAUCAUAUAAAGUAUAAAUAUCCACACAGAGCUUGUCGAAGCAUGCACUGCUGCGUCCUAUAAAACCACGCUCAUCUGUGUGAAAUACCAACCUGUUAGGGAGUCUCAGCCCAUCAGUGAAUAUGACAUUUUGUGGCCUGUCAGAAGACAACAACACAGCAUUUUUUUUUUAUUUAAUGACUGUAUUUUUCACAUUCUGUUAAAUCCUUGUUGUUCAAAUUAGUGACAUUAACAUUACCCUCUACUCAUAUACUUCAUUCCUGGAGACCAUAGUGCUGUGGUUGAUUUUAAUACAUUGUUAUAAAAUGUCUCCCUCUAUCCGACUUAAUUUAUAAAUUACAGGCUGUGUGAAAAGAGCUGUGAAUAAAGGCGGGUUUGACCUCUGUGUCAGUAGCCAAGGCCAAGGAAGCUUGUGAACUGUUUUAUUUAUCCUGCACACUGGGAGCCUGUUUGAUGCAGGCCAACACUGGUUGCUUUUCAAAUGUACCUUCUUAUGAUAUGCUUUGAGCCCCUGCAGAGAAGUCAAGAGCACAAGCUGUGCUUGAAGAGUUUUUUUUGAAAAAUCAUCUGUUGUUUGUUAUGCUAACCAUCCUGGAUACCGUCACGGUUAUUUUCUUUAAAGAGCGAUGCCACAGUGAAGCCGUGCUGUCACGUUUAGUGCAUUUUAAUUAAGUGGUAUUGUACAAGCCUGUAUGAAUAGGUAAUGUAAAAGCUGAUCGUUAGGUUUCCUGUGGUGCUGAAUCCUGAUCCCAUUUGCACCAGCUAUUCAUAUAAAGCUUAGCCUGUUUACGAAAGUAUAAGAUCUCAGUAGAGAUUUAUGUAUUACUUAAAACGUUUUUCACCACAGAAUAGUGCAUACAGUAGAAAUGAGCUGUAAAUACAUUUUGCUAUGUAGCUGAGCAACCAAAUAUUACAAAGUCUACAGUAACAAAUAAUGGUAGCUUAGCAUAUGUCCUGUUUAAAGCACAAAAGAAGCAAUGGUAUGUAAUCGACAUGUCUGACUUGACACCUGAUGAAACGCUGCCUAAUAAUGGUGUAAGAUUUAAAUAUUACAAAACAUAACACCAAUAAUGUUAGACUAAAUAACGCUGGGUUAUAUUAGCAUAAUUGAAUGUUUCUUACUUAUUGUAGACUGUAUAAAUACUAUCAACUCUGAAAUGUCUGUGUAUGCAUAUAUAAUCUAGAAAUGCUGCCUCGUGGUUGUAUGUCUCUGUGAAACAGUCAAGUUCCACUACAGUUUACAUCCAUGUCUGUGAAAACACGGAUGCAUCUCACACACCAUUCCUCCACCAGCGCAGAAGACCCAGGAUUAA